rnacentral:rRNA from 1 species
UGGGGAAUUUUCCGCAAUGGGCGAAAGCCUGACGGAGCAAUGCCGCGUGGAGGUGGAAGGCCUACGGGUCGUCAACUUCUUUUCUCAGAGAAGAAACAGUGACAGUAUCUUAGGAAUAAGCAUCGGCUAACUCUGUGCCAG